UUUUAUCAUUUCAUCGGCAGUCCUGGAGACGUACUGCGAUUGCUGCGUUCCAGCUGUGGUGAAGUAGUAGAUAGAUCACAUUCUGGUGUGUAUUAACGUCUAAAGGUUGAAAUAAUAUUGUACUAUUGAUCAUCAAUAUUUGGACGUCUCGCAGCGUUUUGGGAUAGAUAAAAAUCGCGGUUUGUGCGAGUCUGUUGCUAACGUUAUCAAAACGAUACUAUAUUUCGUGUGGUUGUCUCGUGGAGUUUUCACCCAAACAUCAACCAGCAUGAACAAACUGAGCAAAAGUCUCGCUGUGUUCAAUUGGGCAUCGCAAAAGGCCGAGAAAGAUCUUGUGAACACAAUAACCAAAGAAAAACUACAAGAUUAUUACGAAAUUCAAGAGGAAAUAGGGCGAGGU